CCUACGGGUGGCAGCAGUGAGGAAUAUUGGUCAAUGGCCGAAAGGCUGAACCAGCCAAGUCGCGUGAAGGACGACUGCCCUAUGGGUUGUAAACCUCUUUUAUAAGGGAAUAAUAAAAGCUACGUGUAGCAUGUUGCCUGUACCUUAUGAAUAAGCAUCGGCUAACUCCGUGCCAGCAGCCGCGGUAAUACGGAGGAUGCGAGCGUUAUCCGGAUUUAUUGGGUUUAAAGGGAGGGUAGGUGGUUGUUUAAGUUAUUGGUUAAACGUGGGGGCUAAACCUUGAUUUGGCAUUAAGACUGUAAGACUUGAGUACAGAUGAGGGAAGCGGAAUUAGUGGUGUAGCGGUGAAAUGCUUAGAUAUAACGUAGAACCCCGAUAGCGAAGGCAGCUUACUAGACUGUGACUGACGCUGAAGCACGAGAGUGUGGGUAGCGAACAGGAUUAGAUACCCCUGUAGUC
rnacentral:rRNA from 1 species